rnacentral:tRNA from 1 species
GGAGAGGUGCCAGAGCGGUCGAAUGGGGCGGUCUCGAAAACCGUUGUACCCUAAUAAGGUACCGAGGGUUCGAAUCCCUCCCUCUCCG